rnacentral:rRNA from 1 species
AUUGAACGCUGGCGGCAUGCUUUACACAUGCAAGUCGAACGGCAGCGCGGGCUUCGGCCUGGCGGCGAGUGGCGAACGGGUGAGUAAUACAUCGGAACGUGCCCAGUAGUGGGGGAUAGCUCGGCGAAAGCCGGAUUAAUACCGCAUACGACCUGAGGGUGAAAGCGGGGGAUCUUCGGACCUCGCGCUAUUGGAGCGGCCGAUGGCAGAUUAGCUAGUUGGUGGGGUAAAGGCCUACCAAGGCGACGAUCUGUAGCUGGUCUGAGAGGACGACCAGCCACACUGGGACUGAGACACGGCCCAGACUCCUACGGGAGGCAGCAGUGGGGAAUUUUGGACAAUGGGCGAAAGCCUGACCCAGCAAUGCCGCGUGUGUGAUGAAGGCCUUCGGGUUGUAAAGCACUUUUGGCGGGAACGAAAAGGACUGUGCCAAUACCACGGUUCGAUGACGGUACCCGCAGAAUAAGCACCGGCUAACUACGU